GAUGAACGCUGGCGGCGUGCCUAAUACAUGCAAGUCGAGCGAACAGACGAUGAUCUUGCUCCUCUGACGUUAGCCGCGGACGUGUGAGUAACACGUGUAUAACCUACCUAUAUUACUGGUAUAACUUCGGGAAACCGGAUCUAAUACCGUAUAAUAUAUUGAACCGCAUUGUUCAAUAGUAAAAUACGGUUUUUCUGUCACUUAUAGAUGGAUCGGCGCCGCAUUAGAUAGUUGUUAAGGUAACGGCCUACCAAGGCAACGAUGCGUAGACGAAGGGAGAGGGUGAUAGGCCACACGGGAAGUGAGACACGGACCAGAGUACUACGGGAGGAAGCAGUAGGGAAUGUUAGGCAAUGGGCGAAAGCAUGACGGAGCAAGGCCGAGUGAGAGAUGAAGGUCUUGGGAUCGUAAAAAUCUGUUAUUAGGGAAGAACAAAUGUGUAAGUAAAUAUGGAGGUAUUGACGGUAACUAAUAAGAAAGCAACGGCUAACUACGUG
rnacentral:rRNA from 1 species